CAUGUCCUUUUGAUUUUGAUUUAAGGUCUGGUCUGCUCAAUGAAGGAUUAAAUUGCCGCAGUAUUUUGACUGUGCAAAGGUAGCAUAAUAAUUAGUUUCUUAAUUAGAAACUGGAAUGAAUGAUUGGACGAGAAAAUUUCUGUCUCUUAUUGAUGGAUUAUUGAAUUUUAUUUUUAAGUUAAAAAGCUUAAAUUUGUAUAAAAGACGAGAAGACCCUAUAGAGUUUAAUACUUGAAAUUUAUUAGAUUUUGGAAAAUUUCUUAGAUAAAAAGUAUUUAGUUGGGGUGACUUAGAGAUUGAAAGAAUUCUUUAAAUGUUUAAUUGUUGAUAAACAAAUAAUAAAUCUAGUUUUUUAAAUUUAAAAUUAAUUACCUUAGGGAUAACAGCGUAAUUUUUCUUUAAAGUUCUUAUUGAAAGAAAAUCUUGCGACCUCGAUGUUGGAUUAAAAUUAAUUUUUGGUGCAGUAACUUAAAAAUUAGGUCUGUUCGACCUUUAAAAUUUUACAUGAUCUGAGUUUAAACCGGUGUAAGCCAGGUUGGAUUCUAUCUUUAGUUUUAUUAUAUAUUUUAGUACGAAAGGACCAAAUAUAUAUUAUAUUUAAUUG
rnacentral:rRNA from 1 species